rnacentral:rRNA from 1 species
GAUGAACGCUGGCGGCGUGCCUAAUACAUGCCAGUCGAGCGAACAGACGAGGAGCUUGCUCCUCUGACGUUAGCGGCGGACGGGUGAGUAACACGUGGAUAACCUACCUAUAAGACUGGGAUAACUUCGGGAAACCGGAGCUAAUACCGGAUAAUAUAUUGAACCGCAUGGUUCAAUAGUGAAAGACGGUUUUGCUGUCACUUAUAGAUGGAUCCGCGCCGCGUUAGCUAGUUGGUAAGGUAACGGCUUACCAAGGCAACGAUGCGUAGCCGACCUGAGAGGGUGAUCGGCCACACUGGAACUGAGACACGGUCCAGACUCCUACGGGAGGCAGCAGUAGGGAAUCUUCCGCAAUGGGCGAAAGCCUGACGGAGCAACGCCGCGUGAGUGAUGAAGGUCUUCGGAUCGUAAAACUCUGUUAUUAGGGAAGAACAAAUGUGUAAGUAACUAUGCACGUCUUGACGGUACCUAAUCAGAAAGCCACGGCUAACUACGUG